GAUGAAGAACGUAGCGAAAUGCGAUACGUAAUGUGAAUUGCAGAAUUCAGUGAAUCAUCGAAUCUUUGAACGCAUAUUGCGCUCUCUGGUAUUCCGGAGAGCAUGCUUGUUUGAGUAUCAGUAAACACCUCAACUCCCUUUUCUUUUUUGAAAUUGGAGCUGGACUUGAGUGAUCCCAACGCUUUCUUCCAAGAAAGUGGCGGGUUGCUUGAAAUGCAGGUGCAGCUGAACUUUUCUCUGAGCUAUAAGCAUAUCUAUUUAGUCUGCCUAAAAAACAGAUUAUUACCUUUGCUGCAGCUAACAUAAAGGAGACUAGUUCUUGUGCUGACUGAUGCAGGAUUCACAGAGACAGCUUCGGCUGACUUUGUAAACUCGAUCUCAAAUCAAGUAAGACUACCCGCUGAACUUAAUCAUAUCAAUAAGCGGAGGA
rnacentral:misc_RNA from 1 species